rnacentral:rRNA from 1 species
CCUACGGGAGGCAGCAGUGAGGAAUAUUGGACAAUGGGCGCAAGCCUGAUCCAGCCAUGCCGCGUGCAGGAAGAAGCAUCUAUGGUGUGUAAACUGCUUUUGUACAGGAAGAAACACUCCCUCGUGAGGGAGCUUGACGGUACUGUAAGAAUAAGGAUCGGCUAACUCCGUGCCAGCAGCCGCGGUAAUACGGAGGAUCCAAGCGUUAUCCGGAAUCAUUGGGUUUAAAGGGUCCGUAGGCGGUUUGGUAAGUCAGUGGUGAAAGCCCAUCGCUCGACGGUGGAACGGCCAUUGAUACUGCUAGACUUGAAUUAUUGUGAAGUAACUAGAAUAUGUAGUGUAGCGGUGAAAUGCUUAGAGAUUACAUGGAAUACCAAUUGCGAAGGCAGGUUACUAACAAUAUAUUGACGCUGAUGGACGAAAGCGUGGGGAGCGAACAGGAUUAGAUACCCUGGUAGUCCACGCCGUAAACGAUGGAUACUAGCUGUUGGGAGUAAUCUCAGUGGCUAAGCGAAAGUGAUAAGUAUCCCACCUGGGGAGUACGUUCGCAGAUGAACCUUAAUGAAUUGACCGG